AUUGAACGCUGGCGGCAGGCCUAACACAUGCAAGUCGAGCGAGCGGCGGACGGGGGAGUAAUAUAUGGGGAAUGCACGCUAGAGGGGGGUAACUACUGGAAGCGGUAGCUAAUACCGCAUACUAUCGGAUAACGCACAUGGGAUUAGCGAUUGGGUGGGGUAAUGGCUCACCAAGGCGACGAUCCCUAGCUGGUCUGAGAGGAUGAUCAGCCACACUGGGACUGAGACACGGCCCAGACUCCUACGGAGGCAGCAGUGGGGAAUAUUGCACAAUGGGCGCAAGCCUGAUGCAGCCAUGCCGCGUGUAUGAAGAAGGCCCUAGGGUUGUAAAGUACUUUCAGUCGGGAGGCGUUACCGACAGAAGAAGCACCGGCUAACUCCGUGCCAGCAGCCGCGGUAAUAC
rnacentral:rRNA from 1 species